CUGGCGGCAUGCUUUACACAUGCAAGUCGAACGGUAACAGGCCUUCGGGUGCUGACGAGUGGCGAACGGGUGAGUAAUGCAUCGGAACGUACCCAGAGGUGGGGGAUAACGCAGCGAAAGCUGUGCUAAUACCGCAUGUGAUCUGAGGAUGAAAGCGGGGGACCGAGCAGCAAUGUUUGGCCUCGCGCCUUUGGAGCGGCCGAUGUCGGAUUAGCUAGUUGGUGGGGUAAAGGCCUACCAAGGCGACGAUCCGUAGCUGGUCUGAGAGGACGACCAGCCACACUGGGACUGAGACACGGCCCAGACUCCUACGGGAGGCAGCAGUGGGGAAUUUUGGACAAUGGGCGCAAGCCUGAUCCAGCAAUGCCGCGUGCGGGAAGAAGGCCUUCGGGUUGUAAACCGCUUUUGGCAGGAACGAAACGGUGUCCGCUAAUACCGGGCGCUAAUGACGGUACCUGCAGAAUAAGCACCGGCUAACUACGUG
rnacentral:rRNA from 1 species